rnacentral:ncRNA from 2 species
AAUUUAAUAGUAAAAAUAGGUUUCGGCAGAUAUCUGUUAUCUUCCGAUUAAAAAGGGAAGUGGGUGAAAAUCCCACGCGGUCCCGCCGCUGUAUAUAGAGGAGUUUUUACAAAAUGCCACUGGGCAACUGGGAAGGCUGUAAAAAUGUUGAUACUUGAGCCAGAAGACCUGCCUAUUUUCACAUACCGAA